AUGAAUAUUGCCCUCCUAUCCCGGUGGCUGUGGCGCAUCUCGCAGGGUCAUGGUGGCCUCUGGCUGGACAUUAUCUGGAAUAAAUACCUGCGCGGCCAACCCCUUGCCUUCUGCCAGAGGUCGGGAGGUUCUCAGUUCUGGCAGUCCCUCGUCCAGCUUCUCCCUGUGCUCCGCAUUGGUACCUCUAUCUCGGUAGGGUCCGGCCUCUCGACGCUCUUCUGGUUUGACCGAUGGGCCGGCGACUCCCCCUUUGCGGCUCGCUUCCCCAUCCUCUUCUCUAUCUCUGUCGACCCCAUGAUUUCUGUUGAUAGGGCCCUUAUUGACUUAGGGCGCCUCGCUUUCCGUCGGCCAUUUGGGCCUGCGGAAUCCGCCGCCUGGCGUGAGCUGCUUGAUUGCGUCGCUCUGCAUGAGCCGUUGGUGGAUGGAGCCCAAGACCGUGUGCGUUGGCACUUGGAGCCGUCGGGCCAGUUCUCUACCAAAUCGCUCUACAUGGCCAUUGCCCCCUCCUCCGCUCCCCCCCCCCCUCUCGAUGGUGUGGUCCGUCCGUCUCCCACUGAAGAUCCGCAUCUUCAUGUGGCAGUGGAUCCGUGGACGGAUCCCUUCCGGUGUGGAGGUCCGCAAGUGUAA
rnacentral:rRNA from 1 species